UCAAUUCGCCUAUCCUUUGUAGGAAGCAUGAAAUAUUACAUGUAUGCGUUUUCAAAUUUCCUUUUAGGCCAUCCAAAAAGAAAAGAGCAACAUAACAAUUAAACUCGCAGACACCGAAGCAAGAAACGCUCAACUGGAAAGAGAGCUUGGCGCAUAUCAAAAGUCACUGAAGAAAUCUGAACGAAAAUUUCUUCUUCUGCAACGCAAACUGGAACAUAUCCAGGAAAGAGAACUUUCAGCUCAGGAAACUUUGUCUCAAGUCCUGACUGUUGUAG